AACUUUCGAUGGUAGGAUAGAGGCCUACCAUGGUGGUAACGGGUAACGGGGUGUUAGGGCACGACACCGGAGAGGGAGCCUGAGAAACGGCUACCACAUCCAAGGAUGGCAGCAGGCGCGCAAAUUACCCAAUCCCGACACGGGGAGGUAGUGACAAUAAAUAACAAUACGGGGUUCUUUAGGAUUUCGUAAUUGGAAUGAGUACAAUUUAAAUCUCUUAACGAGGAACAAUUGGAGGGCAAGUCUGGUGCCAGCAGCCGCGGUAAUUCCAGCUCCAAUAGCGUAUAUUAAAGUUGUUGCAGUUAAAAAGCUCGUAGUUGAAUUUCGGGGUCAGUAGGUUGGUCAUGCCACUGGUAUGUACUGGCCUCACUGAUUCCUCCUUCCUGAUGAGCCGUAAUGCCAUUAAUUUGGUGUUGCGAGGAAUCUGGACUGUUACUUUGAAAAAAUUAGAGUGUUUAAAGCAGGCUAACGCUUGAAUACAUUAGCAUGGAAUAAUGAAAUAGGACGUUCGAUCUUAUUUUGUUGGUUUCUAAGAUUGACGUAAUGAUUAAUAGGGAUAGUUGGGGGCAUUAGUAUUCAAUUGUCAGAGGUGAAAUUCUUGGAUUUAUUGAAGACUAACUACUGCGAAAGCAUUUGCCAAGGAUGUUUUCAUUAAUCAAGAACGAAAGUUAGGGGAUCGAAGACGAUCAGAUACCGUCGUAGUCUUAACCAUAAACUAUGCCGACUAGGGAUCGGAUGAUGUUAAUUUUUAAUGACUCAUUCGGCGCCUUACGGGAACCAAAGUGUUUGGUUC
rnacentral:rRNA from 1 species